rfam:Triticum aestivum genome assembly, contig: Triticum_aestivum_CS42_TGACv1_scaffold_030780_1BL
AACCUACUCCCUUCGUUCCAAAUUACUUGACCUUCAUUUGUCUAGACAUGAAUAUAUCUAGACAUUAAAUAAGUAUAAAUACAUUUGUAUCUAGACAAAUGAAAGUCAAGUAAUUUGAAACAGAGGGUGUACGUG